GUCAUUGCUGCAGUGAUCCUGCUUAGUACGAGAAGACAGCAGGACAAUUGGUUCAAACCAUUCGGUCGACAGGCCAGUGGUAUGAUGAUACCAUCCAUGGGAUUACGCCUGAACGACUUAAAGGCAAAAUCCCGAAUAUGAGCAAUGAUUCGUUGUAAGUCUCGUGAGUUGAAAGGCUCAAAAUCAUGCGACUUUAAUAGGCGUCUCGUUUACCGAGCCGCGUAGGAGCCGAGCGGACGGCGACCGCAGAUCGGUACAUUUCGAUUCGCCGCCUCUAGCAAGGUUCGCCCUUCGGGGAGUUCGAUUUCGAGACUCUAUUUAAGACUUUAUUUCCGAGCGGGGUGUUGUACUCGUCAGAGCAGUUGCCUUGCUGCGAUCUGUUGAGACUCAACCCUUGCUUGGGGGAUUC
rnacentral:misc_RNA from 13 species